GAUGAACGCUGGCAGCGUGCCUAAUACAUGCAAGUCGAGCGAACAGACGAGGAGCUUGCUCCUUUGACGUUAGCGGCGGACGGGUGAGUAACACGUAGGUAACCUACCUAUAAGACUGGGAUAACUUCGGGAAACCGGAGCUAAUACCGGAUAAUAUUUCGAACCGCAUGGUUCGAUAGUGAAAGAUGGCUUUGCUAUCACUUAUAGAUGGACCUGCGCCGUAUUAGCUAGUUGGUAAGGUAACGGCUUACCAAGGCAACGAUCCGUAGCCGACCUGAGAGGGUGAUCCGCCACACUGGAACUGAGACACGGUCCAGACCCCUACGGGAGGCAGCAGUAGGGAAUCUUCCGCAAUGGGCGAAAGCCUGACGGAGCAACGCCGCGUGAGUGAUGAAGGUCUUCGGAUCGUAAAACUCCGUUAUUAGGGAAGAACAAACGUGUAAGUAACUGUGCACGUCUUGACGGUACCUAAUCAGAAAGCCACGGCUAACUACGUG
rnacentral:rRNA from 1 species